UACGAAGGGUGCGAGCGUUAUUCGGAAUCACUGGGCGUAAAGGGUGCGUAGACGGUAUGUUAAGUUUGUCGUUAAAGACUCUAGCCUAACUGGAGGGUUGCGAUGAAAACUGGCGAACUAGAGGGUGAGAGAGAAGUGGAAUUCCUGGAGUAGCGGUAAAAUGCGUGGAUCUCAGGAGGAACACCAAUGGCGAAGGCAGCUUCUUGGCUCAUUCCUGACGUUGAGGCACGAAAGCGUGGGGAGCGAACAGG
rnacentral:rRNA from 1 species